AUUGAACGCUGGCGGCAUGCCUUACACAUGCAAGUCGAACGGUAACGCGGGGCAACCUGGCGACGAGUGGCGAACGGGUGAGUAAUGCAUCGGAACGUGCCCAGUAGUGGGGGAUAGCUCGGCGAAAGCCGGAUUAAUACCGCAUACGACCUACGGGUGAAAGCGGGGGACCGUAAGGCCUCGCGCUAUUGGAGCGGCCG
rnacentral:rRNA from 1 species